rnacentral:lncRNA from 9 species
GGGGAAACAUUCUGGGAAGCUGACCCCUUAACUAUCGCAAGCAGAUGUUUCCUGAAAGAGAUUAAACUUGAGUUUGCCUUGGGGGCAGGGUGUUCCCCCUGAGUCCUCACAGUUAACUGGAUGUGAUUGUGUCUGCUUGGCUCUUAGUCACUAUUUUGGUGGCACCUAGGGAAGGUGGCACAAAGCGGGCAGAAGUUCUCCCUGGCUUCACGUGGACUCAGAGUGAGUAGUACCGAAACCCGCUCUAUAGCCUGGACUAUACCCACUAGUUCCUCUCGUUGUGAGGCUGUGUUCUCUGAGCAGCUGUUCAUAAGGACUGGAAAGCUAAGAGCAGCCUGUGCAGAAGAACCAGCCCAUGACUCAUCACUGUAUCAGAGAAGGGGAGGUGCCAGCCUGGCUCGGGAUCUGCUUUCCCCGAUUGGAGCUCUGAUCCCACCAACUCAAAUGCCUGCAGGGGCCAGGCAAGCAGUAUAAAUGGUUGGAAGAGACUGGGUGGGAUUCUGGCAUAUUGGAGACAAGGCCGCAUUUAGAACUGCUUCUGAGCUUGAGCUGAUUGCUGGCAGGCAGAGAUAUGCGUGAAGGUUGCCGUGUCUUCCUAUUGUUCAAGAGAAGAUGGAAAUCUUUUUUUUUUUUUUUUUAAUGUGAAUAUCUCAAUUGGAAUACCGACCAACUAUUCAUAGUAUUUUAAAAAAGAAUACUGCAUUGCAAGUAUACUGCCCUGAAGUUGCAAGUCUUUUUUCUAAACAACGUUCUCUUCCACUCUCUGCAAAUUCGUCAUUGACAACGGUGAUAAAAUUGACCUGUACAGCCCUGACCCUUCCUCCCUUCCAUUUACAUCUCCCAGGGCUGAGAAUACAGGAUUUAGAGUACAUAAAUGUCCUGGCAGGUGGGCAGAGGUGAGAUGUCAAUUGUUUCUGUAGCAAAGGAGGCUCCUAAGGUCUGCUGGGAUGGCUGGGUGGGCUGCCUGCCUCAGCUGCUGCUCAGAGCCCCUCUGGGCAUAGGUGAACGCCUCCCCUUGCUGAAAUGCUACCCCUACUAGAGUGAAAAGGGACUCUGGGUUUCAACCGCAUUGGUAAUAAUGCUGUCCCAAGGUCUAAGAGAUGUAGUAAGAGAAAAGGCCAUCAAAACCCAUCCAGACCAGCAGGGAAAUUCCAGGUGGUCAGAUUCUGCCACACAGGUGGAAGCCUGGCUCUGUGGUGACCCCCAGCUCUGUGUCCCAUGGUGCCUAGAAGCCCCAGCAGAAGGAUGAUCCAGGAGGUAUGCUCCUGGCUGAACCCGCUAAUGCAAAUGUCAACAGCAGCCCUGUCAUAAUGUCAUAAUCUAAAGGUCAGCAGAUGGGUCCCUUGGCAUUUGGGGUCUGCAGGGGCAAAUAAGCACUGGAAACCCCCACAGUGUCCAGACCACGGCCAUGAGAUUGGCUUCCAUGGUGCCUGGGGCUGGGCUAGGGUCUAGUGGCAGUUUGAGAAGAGAUUUCAGGAUGCAGAAGGUCUGCAGGUGGGUGUGGGGGCAGCGAGGACCUCAGCAAGCUCUGUGUGCUUUCCUCUCAUUCCCCAGUAAGAGUUCUCUGAGUUCUUUGCUUCCUUUUUUUAGGGCCGCACCUAUGGCAUAUGGAGGUUCCCAGGCUGGGGGGUCUAAUCGGAGCUAUAGCUGCCAGCCUACGCCACAGGCACAGCAACUCAGGAUCUGAGCUGAGUCUGCGACCUAUACCGUAGCUCAGGGCAACGCUGGAUCCUUAACCCACCGAGAGAGGCUAGGGAUCAAACCCAUGUCCUCAUGGAUACUAGUUGGGUUCUCAACCCACUAAGCCAUGACGGGAGCUCCUUUCCUUCCUAUCUUGAGCACAUUGUUCAGGGCAACCACGUGUCCUCUGGUAAAAAUGAGACCAAGACAAUGGACCGAAAUAGGUGUUUUCACUUUGUGCAGACUCCUGAUGUGUCCUGCAGCAGGGGGGCAGCCUCAGGUCCAGAUCCGGGUGCCCCUCUCCUUUGGGGAGGUUGGUCUGGGGCAGCACCAUUCCUUCAGGAUCCUGCCUGCCCCCAACUCUCCCUGUGGUCUUUAUGGCCUUGCAUGACUGUGCUUUGCUCUACAGAGAAAUAUGCCUGGGAGCAGAAUGUGACACAAAUGUCCAUGGCCUCUUCCCCAAUGUCACAGAACUACGUGCUGUGAGCUAGCGGUUUUGAGGACUGAUGAAAAACAUGUGGUUCUACCCCACUCUCCAAGAAUUAGAGGCUGAUUCUAGGAGGGUGGGGAUUGUCUGAAUUUAAAAAUAGUUAUACAAUACAUCCGGUGAGGAGAUACUGCUGCUCACUGAAAGGACAAAGUAGGAGCUGGCCUCUGGGGCCAGGCAUGUAGCUCACAGGAUGUCCCCAGCCAGGCCCAGCCAUGGCGGGGGGUGUUGCGUGCCCUCGAUGGGGGGCUGAUAAAGAUGUCCCCCCACUUCUAAUGUCCACAAAGAGCAUGAGCAUCUGGUGGUGAGUCAUACCCCCUACGAUCGAUCCCCACUUUGCCAGAGAGAAAUUUCUAGAACUCAAGCCUGACCAGGAUAUCCCUCCCCUAUUUAAAUUCACUUUGUUGGUUCCCAGACUCUGCAUGUUAUACAAACCAUUCCGGAUCAGGGUCCAGCUUAUCUUUAUAACAAAUUACUCACGGAUCCUCAAAUAGGCCAUGUUCUCACUUGCUGUUGCAUUUUGUUCUGCUUGUUCCAGUUCUCUUUCUCUGCUUGAUUAACUCACAGGACAACAUGCAGGCACUGGGAGGUUUCUGGGUGGCUGCCCAGCACGGCACCCCAUUCGAGUUGGGGCUUGGCACCCACAGGACCCAUGUCCCGACCUGGCCUUAAGCACACCUUUGGAAUUGUCUUUUCCCUUCUCUGGGUUUCCCCUACAUGAUCAGAUCUUCAAAUGCAGGAACCACAUCUCUUUGUUCUCCAGAGUACAGAUUUUUCUUUCAGGAACUAUGCACUGAGCUCCUGUUACGCUAAGCUCUGUAGACACAAUGGCAAAACUUAUGGCAAAACAGUGGCAAAAAAUAAAGAUGUGAUUGCCGCCUGUGUUAGUUUGCUAGGGCAGCCUUAACAAAGUACCACAAACCAAGUGAUAUCAACCACAGAAGACACUGUCUCACAGGUGUGGGCAACCCCUGUUCCUUCUGGGGCUCUGAGGGAGACUCUGUCCCCGCCUCUCCCCAGUGGUCUGCUGGCCACUUUUGGUGUUCUUGGGCUUGGAGACAUCACCCCAGUCUCUGUCUUCAUCUUCACGUGGCAUCCUCCCUGUGUAUGUCUGCCUCCAAUUUCCCCCUUGCCACAAGGACACCGUUAUAUUGGCUUAGAGCCUAGCUCAACGACCUCAUUUUAACUUGACAAGCUCUGUAAAGACCCUGUAUCCAAAUAAGGGCACUUUUGAAGCAACGGAGGGGAGGUCUGCAACGCUGGAGUUUGGGGAGGGGCACAACUGAACACAUGCCUGCCCUCACGAAGUUUGGGGUUUCGCCAGGGUGGGGGCGAUGCAGUUGGACCCAGACAGGCCCACACACAGCGUGUGCUUGCCCAGGAAGCCUCAUCUUGAUAUGCUCCCUGGGGACAGAGACUGGCUCCUGAGGCCUGAGGGACACUGGAGUUCUUCAAAUGAGGGGAAGAAGAAGCGUGAGAACAGAGGGAAUAGCACGGGGAAUGCACAGAGGCAACAGGAAAUAUGGCUCCUCGCAGAAGCAGAAAGAAGUUUCGCAGAGCAAGAGUGUGGAGCCAGAGGAGGGACUGGGGAGAUGAGGCUGAGAGGGAAGUAAGGGUAGGUUUCCACUGGAAGGAAGCCAGGACUGUGUCCCGGGGGCGCAGGGAAGGGUUCUGCAUUGAGGGGAUUAAGCAGCAGGAGUUCCCACUGUGGCCUGUGGUGCAGUGGGUUAAGAAUUUGACUGCAGAGGUUUGGAUCACUGGGGAGGCACAGCUUCAAUUCCCAGCUCAGUGAAGUGGGUUAAAGGGUCUGGCAUUGCUGAAGCUGUGGCGUAGUUCGUGGCUGCAGCUUGGAUUCAAUCCCUGGCCCAGGAACUCCCAUAAGCUGCAGGUUCAACCCUAAAGAAGCAAAAAACAAACAAAGAAAAAAAAACCCUAGAGCGAUGUGACCAGCAUUAGCCCUCCUGAAGCCAAGGGCUUCUCAUGGGAAAAAGACAGACCUGCAAUCCCAUCAAUCACACCCAGUAACAAGGGCCGCAUUGGAAACGUGCAGGUGCAGAAGAAGCAUCAAAAUCUGUGGAAAUCCUGUCUUUGCGGAGGGCUCAGCAAAAACAGACAGGGGCAAGAGGAAGGGAGUCCUUGUCAGGAAAAACUGCCCAGGAUGUACUGUCCUUAAACUGACUGCACAGCCCUGAAAGCAAGGGCCAUCUCCCUGCACAGGGACAGGCACCUUUGCUUCACCAGGUGGGGCUCUGACGCGGCUGGAGAAGGGAAGGUGGGCUGAUUGGCCUCCUGUGGUGCGGAACCCUAGUCUAAGCUCGUUUUCUCACCUACUGCUUCCCUGGAGCCGCUGCUCAGCCCCCUGCCAUGUGUGGGGCAGGGAUUAUUGACUCUACUGCAGGUGAGAAAACAGAGAGGCUGAGGACAGGGCCAAGGACAUGGAGAUGGGGGGUAGGGGGGAGCAGAGCUGUCCCUACACUCAGGCUACCUCUCUUUGACCUCUUUGUCUCUUCCCAGGGCUUGGGCCCCUCCAGCCAUGGUCAAGGAGAUGGACUGCCUCUUGGUUUCCCAAAUCAAGGAAAGAGGAUUGCUUAAACUGGCAAGUUACUUUCAAGUAUACCUUAAACAAAUGUGGAGAGCCAUUUGGUCACGUAUGUGGAUGCACCCAGUGGGAUACACGGAAACAACAGACUGGGUGUACUUGGAGCAGCUGGGCGGAUCUUAAGGAUGCAGAGCUGAGCACAAAGUAAUAAGCAAAAAGAGAUAUAGGACGUGAUAGAUAUGGUCACAAUGUUGGGGGGGGGCAAAGAGGAUGGAGAAGAGCAAUAGUUAAGAUUAGAUAAGUCAUGUGGCUUGAUUUUACAAUGGGAACCCCAAGGCAACCAAGAAUUGUCACAACAUGGAUGGAACUAGAGAAUCUCAUACUGAGUGAAAUGAGCCAGAAAGACAAAGACAAAUACCAUAUGAUAUCACUUAUAACUGGAAUCUAAUAUCCAGCACAAAUGAACAUCUCCUCAGAAAAGAAAAUCAUGGACUUGGAGAAGAGACUUGUGGCUGCCUGAUGGGAGGGGGAGGGAGUGGGAGGGAUCGGGAGCUUGGGCUUAUCAGAGACAACCUAGAAUAGAUUUACAAGGAGAUCCUGCUGAAUAGCAUUGAGAACUAUGUCUAGAUACUCAUGUUGCAACAGAACAAAGGGUGGGGGAAAAAUGUAAUUGUAAUGUAUACAUGUAAGGAUAACCUGACCCCCUUGCUGUACAGUGGGAAAAUAAAUUAAAAAAAAUAAAAAAAAA